CGUCGAAGGUGGGAUCGGCGAUUGGGACGAAGUCGUAACAAGGUAGCCGUACCGGAAGGUGCGGCUGGAUCACCUCCUUUCUAAGGAGCACCACGAGAUUCAGGCCCGCCCACGACUGUGGGAGUUCGGAGAUCUGGACGAUUCGUUGGAUGGACUCGUCGCCCGUCACUGGGCGUAUCCGUAGUGGAGCGAGUUCUGGUGCAUAUGCAAACAAAAUCUUCUGGUUACCCCUCGUUUGGGGGGUGCCGGCCACCAAGCACACUGUUGGGCUUUGAGACAACAGGCCCGUGUUUCCCUGGCCACCGUGUGUGGUGGGAGGCGUGUUGUUGCCCCAGGUUUUGGUGGUGGGGUGUGGUGUUUGAUUCGUGGAUAGUGGUUGCGAGCAUCAACUCGCAGCAGUCGNGAUCAGCAACGCUGCGGUGAAUACGUUCCCGGGCCUUGUACACACCGCCCGUCACGUCAUGAAAGUCGGUAACACCCGAAGCCGGUGGCCUAACCCUUGUGGAGGGAGCCGUCGAAGGUGGGAUCGGCGAUUGGGACGAAGUCGUAACAAGGUAGCCGUACCGGAAGGUGCGGCUGGAUCACCUCCUUU
rnacentral:ncRNA from 1 species